rnacentral:lncRNA from 1 species
GCUUGUAUUACAUGAAAAUGAGUGUUUUGAUUAAUAUAUUUCUUUCAUAGCAGAGUGGUGCAGGUGUAUGUUUGUAAAUAUUAUCAUUGUUAUAUUUUCUUUUGUUAAUUUGACAUAUUGUUGUUAUAUUUUUACGCUAUUUCGUAAUAUAUUAUUGCAGAUACACCCUUUCAAAGUUCGCAUCAAUACGUAUACUCUUCCAAGCAUGACGAAAAAAUUCUGUUCGCGUUGUGAUACAAAUACAGAUUCAGAAAUAGUUAUAGUUCGUGAGAAGAAGACACCUGAUGGGAAGAAAGUGAAUGAAACAAGAUGGCGAUGUGUCAAAUGCAAAAUAUUUAGGUGAAGAUAAUGCAUGUUUGAAUUUUGAACAGUACUGUCAAUAGUGAUCACAUUUUCAGUACUAUCUUUUAACAUGUCGUUAUAAUUGUAAUAUGAGGUAUAUCAUUUCAAAACAUUAGAAUCAUAUAUUCUUAAUGUCUAAUGGAUCGAUAUAUUAUUAUGCUUGUAAGAUGCAUCUCACUUCAAAAAUAAAUUAAGAUAAAACUUAUAAACAGUAAAAAGGAAUUCAAUCAAAACAGCAUGUGUCAAAUAUUCAUUUGAAAUGGGGUAUAGGUUUGUUAAUAAAUCUUGAGAUUCUAUUUCUUUUAAAUUUAUUGAAAUGCAAAACAAAGAAAAGAGUUGGGCUGUUUAUUUAAUUUUUUCUUCUUCGGUUGUUGUCUCUUUAACACAUUCCCAAUUUCCAUUCUCAAUUUUACUAAGAUAAGGGUUAUUGAUUCCACAAAAGUAUAUUAAUAUAUCGAAUGGCACGUUUGCAGAUGUUAAUGGGGCAUUAGUCUACCGAAUAUCAAUAUAAUUUCUUAUUUCCAAAAACUGCAACAUACCCUUCUUCUGAAAUCUUAUAUUCAAUAUAAAGAAUGCAGCCAAAGCAAAAUCCACAAAUGCUACGCGUUUUAUUUAUUAUCUUUUAACAAAUAAUGUUCAGUAUAUCAUAAUCCCCAUUUAAGGAUAAAUUGUAUA